rnacentral:rRNA from 1 species
GACGAACGCUGGCGGCGUGCCUAAUACAUGCCAGUAGAACGCUGAAGGAGGAGCUUGCUUCUCUGGAUGAGUUGCGAACGGGUGAGUAACGCGUAGGUAACCUGCCUGGUAGCGGGGGAUAACUAUUGGAAACGAUAGCUAAUACCGCAUAAUAGCAGUUGUUGCAUGACAACUGUUUGAAAGGUGCAAUUGAACCACUACCAGAUGGACCUGCGUUGUAUUAGCUAGUUGGUGGGGUAACGGCUCACCAAGGCGACGAUACAUAGCCGACCUGAGAGGGUGAUCGGCCACACUGGGACUGAGACACGGCCCAGACUCCUACGGGAGGCAGCAGUAGGGAAUCUUCGGCAAUGGACGGAAGUCUGACCGAGCAACGCCGCGUGAGGGAAGAAGGUUUUCGGAUCGUAAAGCUCUGUUGUAAGAGAAGAACGAGUGUGAGAGUGGAAAGUUCACACUGUGACGGUAUCUUACCAGAAAGGGACGGCUAACUACGUG